rnacentral:rRNA from 1 species
UACGUAGGGUGCGAGCGUUGUCCGGAAUUAUUGGGCGUAAAGAGCUUGUAGGCGGUUUGUCGCGUCUGCCGUGAAAAUCCGAGGCUCAACCUCGGACUUGCGGUGGGUACGGGCAGACUAGAGUGUGGUAGGGGAGACUGGAAUUCCUGGUGUAGCGGUGAAAUGCGCGGAUAUCAGGAGGAACACCGAUGGCGAAGGCAGGUCUCUGGGCCACUACUGACGCUGAGAAGCGAAAGCAUGGGGAGCGAACAGG